UCCUUCCUUUGGAUCAUUUUUUGCUCCUAACCAUGUAAGACACAAACAAAGCUCCAAACAGUAACGCAGAGACGAAAUGCAAGUUGUGCCAC
rnacentral:sRNA from 1 species